GGCAGGCAGCUGUAGCUCCAUUUUGACCCCUAGCCUGGGAACUUCCAUAUGCCACACCUGCAGCCCUAAAAAGCCAAAAAAAAGACUAUAUUUAAAAGUAAUGAAAUUUGUUCUUAAUACACAAUAUUACAAACGCAAAAGAACUAGAAGAUUUUAGUAAGUCAAAUAAGUUUAUCACUUAAGAAAUAGUUAUAUAUACAAUCUCUAUGAAUAUUUAUUGAAUUUCUGAAAUAUCUUAAUUUGAAACAAUACUUUCCAAGUAAACUCAGUAAUAACUGUGUGUAUCUUACAAAUCUUUAUAGAGUACUAGUUAGUUACCACCAUGUAUGACAUUAUGUCUAGAUUUUACAUAACACUAUCAUUAUUUUUAAAAAAGACUUGGUUUGGCAUUUCCCUCAUAGAUUAAAUUAGGCAAUUAGUUAUCAUUCUAAAACUAAGCUGCAAUAUGCAUUAAGUAGUUAAUGACUAUAACAGCCUUACAAUAUACUCUUCACCUAAACCAUUUCUGACUCCACUACUAUAGAACAGUCAGAUUUUUAUCAGAAAACUGAGAUGUCAAGUAAGUUUCUUUAUAUUUGGUACAUUUAAACAUUAUUAUAUGACUUCCUCAAAAGACAUACACUUGUGCUUUUAAACAGCUGAAAUUACUAAAUCACAUUUGUUUUUAAACAAAGGCGUUAUGCAUAACGAUCGCCAUGAGGAAACAAAAGACUAAUAUAAUCAUCGUAUUCAAUUUACCACUGACGUCAAAAAACAAACCAAAAAGCCCCCCAGAUGAUCAUACUCCAAACUCUUGAAUUUCCUCUGACAUAAAAAUAUUCCCAAUAAAAUAUAUUACCAGCAAUGACACAAUUCCUAAAAUUCAUCUCUUCAAAUACAAGCAUAUUUAUCUACAAAGCACACAGAUUUUCUUCUACCUGUUACGUAGAAAAAUCCUCCCAACUUUCAUUGUUCCAUUUUUCUUGCAUUAUCUAGCUGCACGGCUGGCUCUUUAAUAUCCGUAUGCUAAUGACUCCAGGUUAGUAACACAUUCAUUCCUGGUUACAGUUUAACCUACCAUGUUAGAUUUUUCUGAGUGUGUGCGUCCCAUCAGCAUUUAUGUGACUUGCUGUGAUGUCAUCUAUCUAUAUGCAAACAUGCCGACUGAAGUUAGUCAGUUUCUUAUUUUAACAAGGGCGUACAUUUGCUUUCAGAUGUUUAAACUCUUUUCAUCCGAGCUGGAGGGUGAGCAAUCAGGCAGGGUGGGAAGACACACAACAUUACAAUCCUUGCACUGCACACAGAGAAUCCACAGGCACUUCCACAAACAUGUCUGUCAGCCCCAGGGGACUGUGCACAGUCACGUUACCAGCCAUGACAGGUCAGCCAGCCCCGUUAUCUGUGCCGCCUGGCACACCUGAGCGCCCUGCCCCAACGUCACAAGCCGGAGCAGCUUGGGAGGGAACUGCUGGCACAGGCUGUGGUCCAGGGAGUCCUCCCCCACUACCUCUCCAUGGCAACCGCAGCUACAGGAAAGCCAGUCCACCUCUUACGCAAAUGAAAAGAGGCCACAAAUGUCAGCAGUCACAACAUCCCCCCCCUUUCCCUCCCUGCUUAAUUUCUGUCUUAAAGUAACAGCACUGCAUUCUUCUUCUUUUGCAUUUUGGAACACCUUCCACCGCUUAAGGGAUGGGCAAGCAAUUUAGGAAGAUCAGAGUUAAAAAAUCCGUCCGUAUGACCACUUACAUAACGUAACUGAGACUCCAAAGAUGAUCACGGUUUGCUGAGUUUCAUUUACCAUGCCAGCGUCUUGGACAGACUCGGAGGAGGAAAGACCAUCCAUUAUGACAACCAAGAGAAACACUCAGUACUCAGCAUGCAUUGUUUCUUCUGCAAGUUCGUAUUUAUUUAGAAAAAUCAAGGAUGCAUCAAAAUAUCAAAUUCCAUAAACUGUCAACCAACAUGUGAUUAACUAUUGAUAACAGUUCCAACUGAGAGUGCACAGAGCAAGCUCCCACUGGUGGCUGAUGAAUGAUAAAAACGUGGUUCCUUUGACGGCCUCUAAAGAUGCAUUUUCCAAGGAAAAAUAAAUUAGAAACCACAACAGGUGAUGAUUCACAUGAAAAAAACAAUACAACAGAAUAAUCAGUAAAAAUUUUUAAUAUACUCAGGUGUGUGGAGACACUUUUUUUUUAACUGUCCCAGGCAUGAAAAGGGCAGUUUUAAAACUUCCAUUAUUGAUUUAUUUAGCAAACAUUUGCCAACAUGCGAGGCACCCCUAAGGUUUCAGGACAGACAUGAGGCAUUUUCAUAAAGGACUGCUCUUGGGUGGUGGGCACUGUCCCUCAUCAAGUCUGGCCCAGGGUUCUGGAAAAUUCCCAAGGGCGAGGGGCUUGAAAAGAGGUCUGAAUCCACUGCAGAAGUGGAAUCAAGAGGUUCUGGGCAAAAAAGAAACUCAUGGACUUGGAGAAUAGACUUGUGGUUGCCAAGGGGGAGGGGGAGGGGGUGGGAUGGAUCCAGAACAUGGGGUUAAUAGAUGCAGACUGUUGCCUUUGGAAUGGA